GGAUCAAAUUGUCAGUCGUGCCUCGGUACGCACUGGCAUUAUUGGUUCCUCCCUUCUGAAGAACCGCGAUGUCAUUAAUUUGGUGUCACGGGGGAUCAGGACUGUUACUUUGAAAAAAUUAGAGUGUUUAAAGCAAGCUCGCGCUUGAAUACAUUAGCAUGGAAUAAUGAAAUAGGACGUUUGAUUCUAUUUUGUUGGUUUCUAGGAUCGACGUAAUGAUUA
rnacentral:rRNA from 1 species